rnacentral:rRNA from 1 species
AGUGGGGGAUAACGCCGCGAAAGCGGCGCUAAUACCGCAUAUUCUCCGAGGAGGAAAGUGGGGGACCGCAAGGCCUCACGCUUUCGGCGCGGCCGAUGUCCGAUUAGCUGGUUGGUGGGGUAACGGCCUACCAAGGCGACGAUCGGUAGCUGGUCUGAGAGGAUGAUCAGCCACACUGGGACUGAGACACGGCCCAGACUCCUACGGGAGGCAGCAGUGGGGAAUUUUGGACAAUGGGGGCAACCCUGAUCCAGCCAUGCCGCGUGCGGGAAGAAGGCCUUCGGGUUGUAAACCGCUUUUAGCCGGGACGAAAGGGGCGAGGUUAAUACCUUCGUCUGUUGACGGUACCGGCGGAAUAAGCACCGGCUAACUACGUGCCAGCAGCCGCGGUAAUACGUAGGGUGCGAGCGUUAAUCGGAAUUACUGGGCGUAAAGCGUGCGCAGGCGGUUCGUUAAGUUCGUUGUGAAAGCCCCGGGCUCAACCUGGGAAUGGCAAUGGAAACUGGCGGGCUGGAGUGCGGCAGAGGGGGGUGGAAUUCCG